rnacentral:misc_RNA from 1 species
GAAAUGCGAUAAGUAGUGUGAAUUGCAGAAUUCAGUGAAUCAUCGAAUCUUUGAACGCACAUUGCGCCCCUUGGUAUUCCAUGGGGCAUGCCUGUUCGAGCGUCAUCUACACCCUCAAGCUCUGCUUGGUGUUGGGCGUCUGUCCCGCCCCCGCGCGUGGACUCGCCCCAAAUCCAUUGGCAGCGUUCCUUGCCCCCUCUCGCGCAGCACAUUGCGCUUCUCGAGGGUGGCUCCGGGACGCGAUCCAGCAAGAUGACCACCGUCUUUGACCUCGGAUCAGGUAGGGAUACCCGCUGAACUUAAGC